rnacentral:rRNA from 1 species
GUAGCAAAAUCAUUUGUUUUUUAAUUGGGAACGGGAAUGAAAGGUUUAACAAACAGAUAAUUUUUUAAUUAAAAAAUUAAAAUUUAUAGUUUACGUAAAAAUACGUAGAUAAUUAUAAGGGACGAUAAGACCCUAAAAGCUUUAUUAGUAAAAUUUUUAUUAUUGUUUUAAUCUAUUAAUAAAUAUAUUUUAACUGGGGCGGUUGUUUUUAUAACAAAUAUUUUUUGUACGCUUAGGAUUUAAGAUCCUUAAUAUUAGGAUAAAUGGUUUAAGUUACUUUAGGGAUAACAGCGUGAUAAUAAUGGGGAGACCUUAUUUAUGUUAUUGAUUGCGACCUCGAUGUUGAAUUAAAUUUUCUAUACGAAGCAGAAAUUGUAUGCGAAAGUUUGUUCAACUUUUAAAAUUUU